UUAUUCUUCCUGUGUACACUUGCAUAGCUUGUCGGCAGAAUGGAUCCGGAGAGAGAAAAACAUGGGGAAGUUUGGGUGUGUAAAUAUUGUAACAAUACAAACCCUUCUUUGUUUUUCAACUGCGUGAAGUGCAAAGCGAAAGAAUCUUCCAGUCAAAAGAUGACAAGUGACACAUUCAUGUAUUAGGAUAUUGAAAAAAUUAAGGAAGCACAACGUAAAAGAAACAUUUGUAGACGUAUUUUGCUGGUAAGUCUACCAGGAAGUGGCAAAAGUUCCCUCGGAAAUAAUUUGUUAGGACGCGAAAUUUUUGAAGCAGCGUGCGCGGCGAAUGCCGUAACGAAUCCGUCAUGUAUGGGGCAGGGAAGUUUGAGGAAAAAGAUAUCGUUGUGUUUGACACCCCUGGAAUCGAUCAGAUGGCCGCUGGUACCGAUUCGACAUAUACGAAGUUGAUAGAAAUACUUUCAUUAUGUCUUUGGUCUAUGUGCCCAGGGUUUCAUGCUGUAGUCCUUGUAAUAAGCGUUGGAAGAUUUACAGUUGAAACCUUAUCUCUUUUGAGAAAUAUCAGGAAGAUAUUCGGAGAAGACUGUAUGAAAUUUCUUUUUCUUGUUUUUACAAGAACUGAAGACUUAAAAGAGGAGCAAAGUUUGGAAUCCUUCGUUGAUACCGCCGACGAAAGUGCAAGAAAGCUAGCAAAUGAAUGUGGCUACAUCGGAUUUAACAAUAAGGCUGAUGAAAAUGAAAUGAAACGACAAAAAAUAGCUUUUUUUGGUAAGGUCGAUGAAAAAACUCGAGAAAAUAAUAGUGAAUUUUUCACAAACUCGUAUUUUCAAGAGAUUUACAAAGUUUUAAAGGAAGAGGCAAAGAAAAGAGGUAUAACUGAAACAGAAAUGAGAAAACAGGACCCUCCAAAAAUAAUUAGAGAUAUAACGAAAAAAC